CCGAUCACGUUCUUCCCAAACGUAGAACACCGCGAACCGUAUGGAGAGUUGGGGGUCGCCCCGUCGAGGGCGUCAAACGAUGAGAGCCAGCGCCGACAUUCCCUACAUGGGGGUUCGGUCGAUUCUCACGGCCCCCACGUUUAUUUUUUUCUACCCCAAAACACCUUUCCAGCAGAAAAACUUGUCCCGUACAAGGGACAAAAAAAUUCAAAAGUUC
rnacentral:misc_RNA from 1 species